GACGAACCAUGCGAACGUUGUUCGGAAUCACUGGGCUUAAAGGGCGCGUAGGCGGGCUGUCAAGUCUGGGGUGAAAUCCCGCGGCUCAACCGUGGAACUGCCUCAGAUACUGACGGCCUCGAGGGAGAUAGGGGCGAGCGGAACUGUGAGUGGAGCGGUGAAAUGCGUUGAUAUUCACAGGAACUCCGGUGGCGAAGGCGGCUCGCUGGAUCUCUUCUGACGCUGAGGCGCGAAAGCCAGGGGAGCAAACGGG
rnacentral:rRNA from 1 species